AGUGAGACCAGACCUGACAGGAGAGGCGAGGACUGAAUUCCAGACAUAGUUACACCGGAGAUGGAGUUGAAAAGAGGACACUGAUGGACUGAGGAGGACAACACUUGUGGACUGAGGAGGAUGACAAUGUAGACAUGUCACCUGUACACCAGGCAGUGUCGUGGAAUAUUCUAAUCAACAGUCAGUAGAAGCUGUCCCCACAGUGUCAAGGACAGACAGGGGCUGGAGAGACUGGACAACAUGCUGCUAAGGCUGCAGACAGGGCUGAGGGACAAUCACACCCUCACCCUCACACCUCACAGCCGAGGUGACCUUCAAUGUACUGGAUGACUAUUCUAGAAAUGUUUGGCAUUGUUACUGGAAAGAGAGAAAGUAGGAUAUGACUUGGUUUGUUUGUGUUGCACCAGAAUGCAAGGGCAAGCAGCCAAGGUUGGGUAGGUUACUUUGUAAAUUACAAUUACAGUUUAAUACAUUUAUGCUUUGUCAUAAUGGGGUAAUAUGUGUAGAUUGAUUUCCCAAAAUCAGUAACGUAAUCUGAUUACAUUCUGUUACAUUUAGAUUACAU